ensembl:lncRNA
CAAUUCUUUACCAUCUCAGCAAAAUGAAAUUAUAUUUGCAGUAAGAAAAAAACUCUCUAAUGGUUUUAAAAUGGCCAAUCAAUUCUCUGACACUUUCUUACUAAGAGAUAGGAUCUUUGUCCCAUCUCCUGGAAUCAGGGUUUAAUGACAGUUUGACCAAUAGAACACAGUGAAAGUCACACUAUGUUGAUCUCCAGCCCAGGGUAUAAGAAGCUGGCAGCCUGAACUUCCUUUUUCUCAGGAUCCUACUCUGGGAAUCCAGCCACCAGGCCAGAGGCAGCCGAGCACUUCCUUCUACCUACACCUCAGAUGCCGGCCAGCUGCCAGCCGUGAGUCAACCUGAACGUGGGUCCUCCAGCCCUCAGCUGAGCUGCCCUCUACAACACUGUGUGGGGCACAGAUUAGCUGUCCCUGCUGACGGCUGCCUGCAUCGCAGAUCUGCGCGCAAAAGUAAAACUCAAUUUAAUCCAGAAGAUCGAUGAAAGUGGAAAAUCACUGUGGAUCGAACUCAGGACCUUGUGCUUUCAAGGCAGGUGCUGGAACCAGUGAGCUAAAUCCCUGGCCCCUACUUUUACUUUUUUAAGGUAAUAUUUACAUAUUGAGAGUCUACACUGGCUAGCACCCUGUACCUAAAUUUAGAAAUGGCUUAAGUGAAAUAAACAAACAAAAAAGCAACUUAAAAUCUUGGCAAUUAAAAUGUAUGACUCAAGUGUCCAAAAGAAAAUUAUUUGUAUUUUCAGACUAAAAUCUGUUAUCGUUUCCACUCUUUGUAUGAUGACAAUGGCAAGCCAGCUACUUAAUGAAUCAGCAAUUGAUUGGCUAACACCUAUAAUCUGCAAUUUUGAAAAUCCAGGCUUGAAGACGAGUGUGUGUGUGUGUGUGUGUGUGUGUGUGUGUUAGAAUCAACAUUUAGAAAGCACUGAUUAUAUUUGAUUUUUUUUUUUGUGAGGUGGUGAUUAGUUUAUCAUUCUAAGGAUUGGCUUAUUAUUCUGGUGAUGG